rnacentral:rRNA from 1 species
AUUACUCCUACGGGAGGCAGCAGCUAAGAAUAUUCCGCAAUGGACGAAAGUCUGACGGAGCGACGCCGCGUGGAUGAAGAAGGCCGAAAGGUUGUAAAGUUCUUUUGUUGGGGAAGAAUAACCAUGGGAGGGAAUGCCCGUGGGAUGACAUGAACCGACGAAUAAGCCCCGGCUAACUACGUGCCAGCAGCCGCGGUAACACGUAGGGGGCGAGCGUUGUUCGGAAUUACUGGGCGUAAAGGGCAUGUAGGCGGUCUUGUAAGCUUGGCGUGAAAGACCACGGCUCAACCGUGGGAUUGCGUUGAGAACUGCGAGGCUUGAGUGACGGAGAGGGAGCUAGAAUUCCUGGUGUAGGGGUGGAAUCUGUAGAGAUCAGGAAGAAUACCAAUGGCGAAGGCAAGCUCCUGGCCGAUGACUGACGCUGAGGUGCGAAAGUGUGGGGAUCAAACAGGAUUAGAUACCCUGGUAGUCAAU